rnacentral:lncRNA from 1 species
AUUAUCCAAUAUUGAAACUUUGGAUCUUGGAUAAAACAAUUCUUAUAUGCUAUUUGAGAUAAUAUUGUCCACAAAGUUGGAUAUUUUUUCUUCUUAUCAUUUAUAUUGUCAUAUUACAUCUUUGAGAUCUAAUGUGUAAUUUAUUGGUAUACAAUGGUAUCAUCUAUUUGUUAAAUUUCUAGAUUUUUAUACUAAAAAAAAAUGUAUAUACAUUUGUUGCGGCCAAUCCCCUCGUCGCC